CAGGGGUUCAUGGUUUUGCUCUUUAUACACUUUAUGGGAUUCUGACUGGAUGUGGGGCUUUGUUCUUCAUCAUUAUCUUCAUCAUUUUGUUUAUGAUGAAGCGCAGAAGAGAUCGUACAGCAGAAGACAUCAAGCAGAAACAGACGGCUGACUCGAGUGAUGAUACAUACACAGCUCUGAAUCCUGAGUACAGAACAUCUGAUGACAUUUACAGCACAGUCA